GGGAAUGUGGCUCAGUGGUAGAGUGCUUGCUUAACAUGCGUGAAGCACUGGGUUUGAUUCCCCAGUACCA
rnacentral:tRNA from 1 species